UUUAAGAACAGCAGCUGAAUGGGAGGGUGGGAGGGUUGCCCACUCCAAUAUUAGGCAAGAGCAGUGUGACCAUGGUAAAGACAGAAGAAGCUAGAGUAGUCUAGCCCCAGCGAACUCUCAAAAUGGAACUACUGAAAUGAACCUGCCAGAGUGCUCAUCCAGGACAGAGCACCACACUGAUUAAAACAAAAUUGAAUAGGACAGAAUAAUCCAAAUUGAGCAGGAUAGGGACAAUAGAAUAGAGAAGAACAGGAGGAGAAGGAAAGAGAAGGUUCAGAUAAGGUUGGGAAGAUCAAUGGCUAGUAGAUCUCAGAAAGCAAGCUACCAGGUUUUUGAACAUUAUGUGAAAACAACGGAGGAAUGAAUUCUGUGACAUCAGAAAAACUACCUUGAACUCUACAUUAUUUUAAAAGUUCAGGAACACUAAUUUUACAUAGACAAGAGAAACAGAAAAGUAUCAAGGUAAAAUCCCAUUUAAAGUUAUUAUAAAGGAAAAAACAAAAGCUCUUAUAAAUAAAAGCACCCCAGAAAAACAUGACCGCUCAACAGAUCAAACCUCUAUUAUAAAAUGAGCUGGAGAAGGAGGAGGCUGCGAAUCACUUACAAAUGACGUUGAAGCAGGACCCAAACCCUGAGUUCCAGAAGGAUGAGCGAGUGCUGUACUUUCAUGGGCUGCUUCUUUAUGAAACAAAAUGUGUAAAGGUUGCCAUAAAGGACAAACAAGUGAAAUACUUUAUAUAUUACAGUGGUUGGAAUAAAAAUUGGGAUGCAUGGGUUCCAGAGAGCAGAGUACUCAAAUACAUGGACACCAAUUUGCAGAAACAGAACUUCAAAAAGCCAAUCAGGAGCGGUAUGCAGAGGGGGAGCUGAGAGGCGCUGCCCCAAGAAAGAAGACAUCUGGUCUGCAACAGAAAUUGUUGAAGUGAAAACAAAAAAGAACAAACAGAAAAUACCUGGAAAUGGAGAUGGUGGCAGUUCCAGUGAGAUGCCUCAGCCUCCUUGGAAGAAAAGGGCCCAGGUAGAGUCUACUCUUGAAAAUGAGGACACAUUCAUGAACAGAGUUGAAGCGAAAAAGUGAAAAUUCCUGAAGAGCUGAAACCAUGGCUUGUUGAUGACUGGGACUUAAUUACCAGACAAAAACAUCUCUUUUACCUUUCUGCCAAGAAGAAUGUGGAUUCCAUUCUUCAGGAUUAUGCAAAUUACAAAAAAAUCUCAUGGAAAAACAGAUAAUGAGUAUGCUGUUAAUGAAGUUGUGGCAGGGAUAGAAGAAUACUUCAAUGUAAUGUUGGCUACCCAGCUACUCUCCAAAUUUGACAGACCACAGUAUGCUGAAAUUCUUGCAGAUCACCCUCAUGCACUCAUGUCCCAGGUUUAUGGAGCACCACAUCUAUUGAUGUACAAAUUAAAGCAGUGUUGGCCUAUACACCUCUGGAUGAGAAGAACCUUAGCCUUGUUUUAUUACUGAAUUAUCUUCACAGUUUCCUAAAGUACCUGGCAAAGAAUUCUGCAACAUGUUUUAGUGCCCAGCAAUUAUGAAUGGCUCCUCCAGAGAACCAUCAGAAAGCUGUGUGAGAGGCACUCUCACUCAUGUUUGGAUCUCUGUAAACAUAUUUUUGUUCUUAGUCUUUCUGUUGUACAAAGGAGUACUUUGAAGAUGUUAUUGUACAACAAUUGAUGUUUUUCUGUUUAAACAGAAAAUAAAAGGAGUAAUAGCUCCUUUUUUCCUAUCUUACCUUUUUUUCACUUCAAAGUUGCUGCCAGUAUAUUCAACAAUGGACAACAGAGGCACAUGCUGUAGAGUGUUUUAUUGCCUAGUUGACAGAACUGCAUUUGAAUGCUGGUGGUCCUGUUCCUUUGACCCUACGUACUUUUAUAAUAUGUGUUCAUGCUGUAUGACAAAAUGCUGUGAUUCCUAGUGUCAAAGGUUCAAUUCAGUGUAUAUAACUGAACACACUCAUCCAUGUGUGCUCCUUUUUGUUAUGGUUCUUAAAUAGCCCAUUCUUUGCAAGUCAUCCAUGUUGUUCUUUAGGCAUUUAACUUUGCUCAAAUUGUUGAAGAAUGGUGUCUUGUUGCAUGGUUUUUGUAUUUGUGUCUAGUGCACAUUUUAACAUGGUAGAUGCGAUGCAUUAUGUAGCUAGUUUUCUGAAAAAGUCAAUCUUUUAGGAAUUAUUUUUCAAAUCUUCAAUAAAUUUUUUCUUUAAAUUUCAAAUAAA